GCAAGAGGGGAUCAUUUCCUCCACUUUUUAUUACAGCGAUGCAGGGACAUUCUGUGAAUAGAAUCCUGGGGAGCUGUCAAGUCCGAAUAUGGGUGACUGUAAGGAGAGGGGUUUUGAUCUUUCCUCUGAGAAAGUUGUCGUGGGCCCAUGAAUUUCUUUGAGUUACUUCUAACCUACCACUCUGUUAGCACCUCCGAUAGUUAAGAGAGAGAGAGUUGUUGUUUAAAUUGGUAAGGGAAGCUAUAAAUAACUGCAGAAUCCAGAACCAGCUCUACCACCUUCUGCGCCAGACACAGAGGGCCAGCGGCUUGAGGUCAGAACCCAGCUCUGUCACUAACUUGGGAAAGGCACGUCAUCCAAAGCACCUGUUUCCAUCCUGUGACAGGAGGGGGAAGGACAGCAUGGUCUCUAACCCCAUGACCUCCACUGACUGAUGUCUGCCGAUGUUUUCUUACUGCUACAGGAAUCAAAGAUCAUCGAUGAGAGAGAUGGAAAAGGUGCAGGCUUGUUCAUAACCAGCAAGGUUCAGAGAGCUGGUGGGCACUGAGGAGGUGUCAACUCGUUACCACCUCUUGACCUUGCUAUGUCUCCAGUGAGGAUGUCUUGUCAGCAUCGUUUCCAUAGCGACCAGGACAUGACAACAGAAAAACUCUAUUGGCCCUUGCUGUCCAACCUUGCGUGUCGACACAGGAUUUGACAGUGAGAAGGCAGCUGGGACAGGCUGGUUCACCGUAGAAAUUUGACAGCAAGCGGGACCCCCACCCUCACCCCCAGGAGAUUUUGCUAUGUUCCGGUUUCUACACCAAUUUUGCAUCUGUCAGGGUUGCCUGGGAGCUGACAGUUAAGGAAAUCUUUUUCCCUGCCUGUCUGCUGAGACCUGGAGACAAAGGCAAAGCUACCCCUCACCUCACCUUCAGCCUGAGAUCCUCCAGCAGCUGGGUGAAGAUGCUUCCUAUCGGUGUCCCCAGACUUUCAAGUCUUCAGAGGGCUGGCAGACAGGACUGAUGGAAUAAGCCAGCGUGAUGUUACCUGGUCCCCUUCCAAUUGCGGACCCGUAUGCACAUUAAUCUUGACAAUUCACCUGCGGAUUUGUUCCCACUUACUUCAACAACUAAUCCAAACACUCCCAUCUGUUAAUGGAGUGGUGUGCUCUUAUCAAAGGUCUGAGAGCAAGAUGCACUGACUCACACUUUCAUUGACCACUGGCCCAGGCAGAUGCAUUUAGGAGAGUGAAGUGCCUGGGGUGAAUACUAGCCAUUCAUUCUGGAAGAGUAUUUGGGACAUAAGAGAGUACAGAGAGGCCAUCAGUGUUUCCUGAGAGCUCUCUGGCUUGAAGAGUCUUCCUGGCCCUGUACCAAAGCUCACAAAACUCCUGACAGCAUGGCAAUGGACAACCAUUUGGAAGUCUGCCUUUCAGCUGGGGCUUUGAACCCCAGGGUUGGAGGACCCUGGACCCCCUCACUUGAAGCACCACAGAAGCACAGAGGGAGAUGUGUUGCUUGUGUUUCUAAACAUGGAAAUUCCACCAAGAACUUAAGGACAAGAACCCAUUACUUUAUGAAAUCAGACCACAGUACAGCGUCACAUACAAACCUGAUUGUGUUCAGGGGGAGAGAUGGGCAGAUUCUGUCAAAUUGGAUUUAAAAUGUAUUGGAGGCUCUGGGUGUUUGAAGGAACCCCUAGGGUGAUGCUGAAUGACAAUCUUACAGAGAGGGAAGUAAUGCAUGCCUGAAAAUUCUGCUUGGUUCAUAUGUCCAUUCACUCUAUCAUAAAGCAAACCCAUUGUGUGCUCAGCAGUGCCUCAGUGCUGAGUGAUAGGAAGACAAAUAAUA
rnacentral:sRNA from 1 species